AUUCCAGCUCCAAUAGCGUAUAUUUAAGUUGUUGCAGUUAAAAAGCUCGUAGUUGGAUCUUGGGUCGUAAGGGUCGGUCCGCCUACUCGGUGUGCACCUGCCCUUCCGUCCCUUUUGUCGGCGGCGUGCUCCUGGCCUUAAUUGGCUGGGUCGCGGUUCCGGCGCCGUUACUUUGAAAAAAUUAGAGUGCUCAAAGCAAGCUUAUGCUCUGAAUACAUUAGCAUGGAAUAACGUGAUAGGAGUCUGGUCCUAUUGUGUUGGCCUUCGGGACCGGAGUAAUGAUUAAUAGGGACUGUCGGGGGCAUUCGUAUUUCAUUGUCAGAGGUGAAAUUCUUGGAUUUAUGAAAGACGGACCACUGCGAAAGCAUUUGCCAAGGAUGUUUUCAUCG
rnacentral:rRNA from 1 species